rnacentral:tRNA from 1 species
UUUGACUUGGCAGAAUUAUAUGUGCUUGAUUUAGGAUCAAACGAUAACACUUGGUGUUAGUCGGAG